GAUGAAGAACGUAGCGAAAUGCGAUAAGUAAUGUGAAUUGCAGAAUUCAGUGAAUCAUCGAAUCUUUGAACGCACAUUGCGCCCCCUGGUAUUCCGGGGGGCAUGCCUGUCCGAGCGUCAUUACAACCCUCAAGCUCAGCUUGGUAUUGGGCCCCGCCGACCCGGCGGGCCCUAAAGUCAGUGGCGGUGCCGUCCGGCUCCGAGCGUAGUAAUUCUUCUCGCUCUGGAGGUCCGGUCGUGUGCUCGCCAGCAACCCCCAAUUUUUUUCAGGUUGACCUCGGAUCAGGUAGGGAUACCCGCUGAACUUAAGCAUAUCAAUAAGCGGAGGA
rnacentral:misc_RNA from 1 species